rnacentral:rRNA from 1 species
AGUGGAUGGGGAGCAACCUAGUUGUGCGUGUGUAAAGGUAGUGCCAAGAAAAGCGGUGAUCAUGAUGAAAAUCAAUUCCCGGUACCCGAAACCGACACAGGUGGGCAAGUAGAGAAUACUAAGGGGCGCGAGGUAACUCUCUCCAAGGAACUCGGCAAAAUGACCCCGUAACUUAGGGAGAAGGGGUGCCACCGAGAGGUGGUCGCAGUGAAGAGGCCCAGGCGACUGUUUAGCAAAAACAUAGGUCUCUGCAAACUCGAAAGAGGAGGUAUAGGGGCUGACGCCUGCCCAGUGCCGGAAGGUUAAAGAAGUUGGUCAGUCUUAGGAUGAAGCUAGCGACUGAAGCCCCGGUGAACGGCGGCCGUAACUAUAACGGUCCUAAGGUAGCGAAAUUCCUUGUCGGGUAAGUUCCGACCCGCACGAAAGGCGUAACGAUCUGGGCGCUGUCUCGGAGAGAGGCUCGGCGAAAUAGGAUUGUCUGUGAAGAUACGGACUACCUGCAUUUGGACAGAAAGACCCUAUGAAGCUUUACUAUAGCUUGGAAUUGUGUUCGGGCUUCCUGUGCGCAGGAUAGGUGGGAGGCGUAGAAGGUAUUCUUGUGGGGAUACUGGAGCCAACGGUGAGAUACCACUCUCAGGAGGCUAGAAUUCUAACUUAAUUAAGGACAGUUUCAGGUGGGUAGUUUGACUGGGGCGGUCGCCUCCAAAAAGGUAACGGAGGCGUACAAAGGUUCCCUCAGACUGGUUGGAAAUCAGUCGAAGAGUGCAAAGGCAGAAGGGAGCUUGACUGCGAGAAGUACAGUUCGAGCAGGGUGGAAACACGGUCUUAGUGAUCCGACGGUGCUGUGUGGAAGGGCCGUCGCUCAACGGAUAAAAGUUACUCUAGGAUAACAGGCUGAUCUCCCCCAAGAGUUCACAUCGACGGGGAGGUUUGGCACCUCGAUGUCGGCUCAUCGCAACCUGGGGCGGAAGUACGUCCCAAGGGUUGGGCUGUUCGCCCAUUAAAGUGGUACGUGAGCUGGGUUCAGAACGUCGUGAGACAGUUCGGUCCAUAUCCGAUGUAGGCGUGAGAAUAUUGGGAGGAGCCUUCCUUAGUACGAGAGGACCGGGAAGGACGCACCGCUGGUGUACCUGUUAUGAUGCCAAUUGUAAACGCAGGGUAGCCAAGUGCGGAGAGGAUAACCGCUGAAAGCAUCUAAGUGGGAAGCCCACCUCAAGAUGAGUACUCUGGUGUAAGGUCACGGGAAGACGACCCGUAAAUAGGCACGAGGUGGAAGUGCAGAGAUGUAUGAAGCCGAAGUGUACUAAUAGACCGUCGGCUUGACCAA